AAGUCGUAACAAGGUUUCCGUAGGUGAACCUGCGGAAGGAUCAUUAAAAGCAAAACAGAAGUUAGAGCGGGCUGGAGGCGCUGGCGAGCCGGGGGAGCUUUUCGGAGCGACCCAGGCCGUCCGCGCGGUCCCCUGCCCUCAUCCUUGAGCGGAGCUCCCGCUCGGUGGAGGGGUCCGCCAACUUUUAACCCUUGAAAUCCGACCUCACGUUGCCUCGGCGGGCGAGCCCGCCGGAGGACGCAACCGAAACUCCUGUCUCAAACCGUGCAGUCUGAGCUUGAUAGCAACGAAUCAAAACUUUCAACAACGGAUCUCUUGGUUCUG
rnacentral:misc_RNA from 1 species